rnacentral:lncRNA from 1 species
AGCCCUGGCUUGGGGAACCCCAAGGUGUGGGCUCCCAGAAGGGCUCAACUCUUCUCGUUGCCUGCAAUGUGGUGACCGGCGGGGCGGGGAGGGGGGUUGGGGGGGGGACAUUGUUGGGGGGUUGUUUCAGCCCGUUUGUGUUACAGCUCUUUCAGUCCCACCACCCCACUCCAGCCCAUGGCUCCUCAGCUGGCCUGGCUCUGCUGCUGCCUCCUGUCAUGUGGGGCAGCUGUCUGGUGCCGGUGAAAGGUGGGAAGCUAUUAGUAUCACUCUAAAAAUAGUCAUUUCACCCAUAGAAAUGGAUAAGAUCAUUAAGGGGAUCAUGUAGAAGAUAACAACAGAUAGACAAUAGCAUUUAGGAGCUGGAAGAAUUCUAAUACUAAAAAAUAGUCAAAAUGGAAAAUAAGAACAGAGAAUCAAUUCUAGAAACCAAGGAGAAACUUUAAAGCAUGCUGGAGAGUGGUAAAGUGAAAGAUCACGUCCAUUUACAAAUAUUCAAACAAAACUGUAUUUGGCUUUUUCUAUAUGAUAGAAGAACCACAAAAUUAAUAAAAUAAACUACCAACCAACCUCAGUAACAUCAAAAUUACAUGAGAGCUGGCAAGAAUUUUAGUUGCCAAAUAGCAUUUAUUUGAGUACAAAAUCCUGGCAGGCAAAAGCACUUGCAGACCCGACUCUCUGAGAACUUACAAACAAAAAGUGAAAAGCUCUUAGUUCAUUUUGAGUCAGAACAAUAAGGAAAUUAUGAAAUCUAAGAUGUGCAGGUUUACUUAAAAGUGAUAAUGGUUUAUAUUAACUGUGGCCCACACAGGGUCUCUCUAAUCUAAUGAAAACAGGACAGUCACUGAAAAUAAGGACUAAUCAAUGGCCAAAUGUUUCUUCACUAUGGGCAAAAAUGUGAUUUCUUCAUCUGGGCUUUAAGAGCUAUAAAUAAAACACAUGGCCGGGUGCAUGCCUAUAGUCCUAGCUAUUUGGGAAGCUAAGGCAGUAGGAUUCCUUGACCCCAGGAGUUGGAGGUCAGCCAACUCUAAACAAACACAAACAUCAUUCUGACAAAUGACCUUAAUGUAGGAUCUCUUUGGACACAUCUUCAGCAAGCAGUCAUUUAAUAAAUGCCUUCUGAUAGGCAGAAUGUAGCUGCUCAUGGCUCUUUAAGUAUCAUAUCCAGAAUAUGAAGGGUUUGGAGAGAAGUUGCAUAAUGGACUUGCCCCUUUCCUCAAUGGGCAGGUAAUGUAUACAAAAGAACCCAUACCCAAAUUAUAGCAUUUUUAUUUUCCAAUACUAUACAAAAAAUAGACUGUGCAUAUCUUAACAGAUCCAGAUCCAAAUUAAAUACUUUUUUUCUAUUUCAA